rnacentral:rRNA from 1 species
CGGGGCUAAUACCGGAUGUGUCAUCGGACCGCAUGGUCCGCUGAUGAAAGGCGCUCCGGCGUCGCCCAUGGAUGGCUUUGCGGUGCAUUAGCUAGUUGGUGGGGUAACGGCCCACCAAGGCGACGAUGCAUAGCCGACCUGAGAGGGUGAUCGGCCACACUGGGACUGAGACACGGCCCAGACUCCUACGGGAGGCAGCAGUAGGGAAUCUUCCACAAUGGACGAAAGUCUGAUGGAGCAACGCCGCGUGAACGAUGAAGGCUUUCGGGUCGUAAAGUUCUGUUGUAAGGGAAGAACAAGUGCCGCAGGCAAUGGCGGCACCUUGACGGUACCUUGCGAGAAAGCCACGGCUAACUACGUGCCAGCAGCCGCGGUAAUACGUAGGUGGCAAGCGUUGUCCGGAAUUAUUGGGCGUAAAGCGCGCGCAGGCGGCCUCUUAAGUCUGAUGUGAAAGCCCCCGGCUCAACCGGGGAGGGCCAUUGGAAACUGGGAGGCUUGAGUAUAGGAGAGAAGAGUGGAAUUCCACGUGUAGCGGUGAAAUGCGUAGAGAUGUGGAGGAAC